GCAAACUUGGUCAUUUAGAGGAAGUAAAAGUCGUAACAAGGUUUCCGUAGGUGAACCUGCGGAAGGAUCAUUAUUGAAUACUGCUCGAUGGGUUGUAGCUGGCUUCCUGAAGCAUGUGCACGCCUGUCUUGAUACUAUUCAUCCACCUGUGCAUCAUUUGUAGUCUCUGAGGGCUGGGAUCGGCAGUUGACCUUAUCAGUUGAAAGACUGGACAAGAGGAUUGCAAGCACGAAAGUGCAGGCUUUCUUCAGCAACAGACCGAGAUCUCCCUUUGAUUCUAUGUUCCAUAAACUAUGUUGUAUGUUGGAGAAUGUAAUCAAUAGGCCUUGGUGUCUAUAGAAUCUUAUACAACUUUCAGCAACGGAUCUCUUGGCUCUCGCAUCGAUGAAGAACGCAGC
rnacentral:misc_RNA from 1 species